rnacentral:rRNA from 1 species
UGGGGAAUCUUCCGCAAUGGACGAAAGUCUGACGGAGCAACGCCGCGUGAGUGAUGACGGUCUUCGGAUUGUAAAGCUCUGUUAAUCGGGACGAAUGGUUUGUGUGCAAAUAGUGCAUAGACAUGACGGUACCGGAAUAGAAAGCCACGGCUAACUACGUGCCAGCAGCCGCGGUAAUACGUAGGUGGCAAGCGUUGUCCGGAAUUAUUGGGCGUAAAGCGCGCGCAGGCGGACUAGCCAGUCAGUCUUAAAAGUUCGGGGCUUAACCCCGUGAUGGGAUUGAAACUACUAGUCUAGAGUAUCGGAGAGGAAAGUGGAAUUCCUAGUGUAGCGGUGAAAUGCGUAGAUAUUAGGAAGAACACCGGUGGCGAAGGCGGCCUUCUGGGCCAUAACUGACGCUGAGGAGCGAAAGCUAGGGGAGCGAACAGG